rnacentral:rRNA from 1 species
UGAGAGUUUGAUCUUAGCUCAGGAUUAACAUUGGCGGCGCGCCUAACACAUGCAAGUCGAACGAAUCCUUACUAUUGAGACUUCGGUUGAUUUAGUAAAUGAUUAGUGGCAAACGGGUGAGUAAUACAUAGGUAACCUACCCUUAAGUUUGGGAUAACUUUUCGAAAGGAAAGCUAAUACCGAAUAAUCUUUUUUUAUCACAUGAUUUUAAAAGCAAAGAUUUAUCGCUUAAGGAGGGGCUUAUGUCUGAUUAGCUUGUUGGUGGGGUAAUGGCCUACCAAGGCAGUGAUCAGUAGCUGGUCUGAGAGGACGAACAGCCACACUGGGACUGAGAUACGGCCCAGACUCCUACGGGAGGCAGCAGUGGGGAAUAUUGCGCAAUGGGGGAAACCCUGACGCAGCGACGCCGCGUGAGUGAUGAAUCCUUUCGGGGUGUAAAGCUCAGUCAAGAGGGAAGAUUAUGACGGUA